rnacentral:rRNA from 2 species
AUUAGAAGCUUGCUUCUAUUACGUUAGCGGCGGACGGGUGAGUAACACGUGGGCAACCUGCCUGUAAGACUGGGAUAACUUCGGGAAACCGAAGCUAAUACCGGAUAGGAUCUUCUCCUUCAUGGGAGAUGAUUGAAAGAUGGUUUCGGCUAUCACUUACAGAUGGGCCCGCGGUGCAUUAGCUAGUUGGUGAGGUAACGGCUCACCAAGGCAACGAUGCAUAGCCGACCUGAGAGGGUGAUCGGCCACACUGGGACUGAGACACGGCCCAGACUCCUACGGGAGGCAGCAGUAGGGAAUCUUCCGCAAUGGACGAAAGUCUGACGGAGCAACGCCGCGUGAGUGAUGAAGGCUUUCGGGUCGUAAAACUCUGUUGUUAGGGAAGAACAAGUACGAGAGUAACUGCUCGUACCUUGACGGUACCUAACCAGAAAGCCACGGCUAACUACGUGCCAGCAGCCGCGGUAAUACGUAGGUGGCAAGCGUUAUCCGGAAUUAUUGGGCGUAAAGCGCGCGCAGGCGGUUUCUUAAGUCUGAUGUGAAAGCCCACGGCUCAACCGUGGAGGGUCAUUGGAAACUGGGGAACUUGAGUGCAGAAGAGAAAAGCGGAAUUCCACGUGUAGCGGUGAAAUGCGUAGAGAUGUGGAGGAACACCAGUGGCGAAGGCGGCUUUUUGGUCU